rnacentral:misc_RNA from 1 species
GAUGAAUAACGUAGCGAAAUGCGAUAAGUAGUGUGAAUUGCAGAAUUCCGUGAAUCAUCGAAUCUUUGAACGCACAUUGCGCCUUCUGGUAUUCCGGAAGGCAUGCCUGUUCGAGAGUCAUUAACAACCGUUUCGAUCCCUUUCUUUCAGAAAUUACAAAGAGGAAAAGGGUUUGGUUAUGGUGGAGGAGGGAAAGGGAGCGUUUAGCCUGUAAAAAAAGAGGCUGUGUUCCGCCUCCCCCCCAAAAUUGUACAGGCGGUCGUGUGCGCCCACGCAUCGAGGUGUUGUAAAAGCUGCCACGGCACUUUUCACCUGUGCAGUGCGAGAUUGGCCAGCCGGUUUAAAAACCCCUCCAAACAAUCAAAGGUUGACCUCGGAUCAGGUAGGGAUACCCGCUGAACUUAAGCAUAUCAAUAAGCGGAGGA